rnacentral:lncRNA from 1 species
UGCGGCCCCUCUCCGCCAGUAUCGCAAUAUCGCUCUUCUUCACCCAGUUGCUCCUGCAGGAUUUGGAUUCUCCUUCGCGAAAAUUGCAUGAGGCCGCAUGGCUUUCGUCUGGGAAUGGCUGACAGACGCCAUGCUUUGGGAGCCUUACAACCCCGCUCUCUCCAGCGACAUCGAAUAAGCAUUUGUUAACUUGUUUCCUAAUUUGGACUGUGUG